rnacentral:lncRNA from 1 species
AGACCGCCGGAGGCAGCGGCGAGGACUGGAACUCCAGCAUGGCGAUUACUCUGCCCCUCAGCGGUUCCAGUGCCCUCAAAGCAAUCUGUCUCUGAAGUACUGGCUAUCUUCUGAGCGUGUGCCAGAAGAUCCAGCUUUGUUGAAAAGCGAAGCCGUUAGUCCCUUAAUACAAAGGAGACAAAUUGAUUUAUGCCUGGGGCACCAUCACCAAAAGAAGAGGAAAUGGAUGCAAGCCUUCCCAGAACAACAGCUGGGGGUUUGUGUGCUCUUUCGAAUGCUUUGU